GUCUACGACCUUACCACCCGGAAAACACCGGUUCUCGUCUGAUCACCGAAGUUAAGCCUGGUCGGGCGAAGUUAGUACUUGGAUGGGUGACCGCCUGGGAAUACUUCGUGUUGUAGACU
rnacentral:rRNA from 1 species